GUUUAAUUAUUCUAGUCAGUGUCGUGAAAUAUCAUAAGUAACAAUCAGUUCCUAUUGUUAUGCAAGGCAUCAAAGCUUACGUUAACAGAGAAAAUCGUUACGAUAGUGAAACGGAAGUCCUGGCCCGGAAAGGCAAGGACGUCACCGGAUGCUUCCCCCUCCUCCCCGACAUGCUCUCCUGCUUCCGGUCACGGGACUUCCGCGCCCAACUUUUCAACUGGUGUUAGGAAAAUACGUAGGUAAAUAAAUAAAAUUACACGCGGAAAAAUGUUGCAAAACAUGGA